GCACCACAUUACUGAAUUCUUCUUGUCCCUAUUACCUAUACAUUCUUGGAAUUCAUUGACUAGUGACUAACAGGGCAUGCCAACUAGAGAAAAUGAAACUAUAUCUAAGCUAUUUAAAAUGUAAUUGUCACAAAAUGAGUGGUCUAAAUCUAUGACAAAUUGUUUUUUCUGUGGUAUGGAACUAUGGAUAGUGUCUGCUGAAAUCUCUAAUAACCAGAUGGUAAAUCAAUGUGUGUGAUCACAAAUGUGAAUUGGCAAGAAAGAAAGAUUCUAAAGGCACAACAAGAUUUCAGAUCCGAUGAGCUGUCAGUUAUUUUAAAACCUGUUCAAAUCACAAUUUAAUAGUUCAAAAUUUCGGUAUUAUCUCAAAUGUGGAGGAGAGCAAAGGUGUUGUGUUUCAUUGUUUAAGAUUUGUUAGUGGAGUUCGUGCAACUAAAUAUCCCCGCUUCACUGGUAUGUAGUUAUUCAGAACGAUUGUGGUAACUGAUAACAGCAUAAAAUCCAGAUCUCUUCUGUACAAACUGUAGUGAUUUAUUUGUUACUAACUUCUGUUGUGCUGAUUUGGUAUUUGCCGUCUAAGAUGCAAACUUGUAGAUUUUGACAGUACAGUUCUGGAAGAGAAAAUAUUUGGGAUUUUUCAGCUGCUUUCUCAAUUAAGUCACACAUUGCAUGCUGCAUUUUUGUACCUAACUUUAAUGUCAAGUACUCCCUCCGUUCACAAAUACUCCCUCCGUCCUAAAAUAAGUGUCGCUGAUUUAGUGCAACAACUUUGCACUAAAUCAGCGACACUUAUUUUAGGACGGAGGGAGUAUAAGAUGUUCUAACUUUUUUCUGAAUCGGGUGUAUAUAGACACGCAUUAGUGUGUUUGUCACUCAUUUCAGUCCUACGUAGUCCAUAUUAUAUCCAAAACAUCUUGUAUUUGUGAACGGAUGGAGUAGUUAACUGACCUAGUUUAAAAGACCAAGGAUCACAUCCUUUUUAAGCUCAAGGGAAAAAACAGAGCCACAUUGGAAGGCAAGAUGUAACAGUCUAAAAGGUUACAUUGAACUUCAUAUGUCGAUGUGUGGAGACAAUUCCCUGCAAAAAGCAUCAAACUGCGUAUGAUUAUAGCAAGUUAACCCUGUUGGUAUUCCUUUUUUCUCCUUUAUCUUUAUUUUUCAAGCGUUGACCAUUCCCUUCAACAGGCACAUCAAACUGCAGAUGAUUAUAACAAGCUUUCAAAAAUUGGCUCAGACACUACAUGUUGCGUUUUUUCCAGCAAUUUUCACGUCUUCGGUAGCUAAAUUAUCUACUCCUCUCUACAGACAUUAAUUAAGCCCUGACAAAAACAGAGUCGGCGUAGACAGACUUCAUGUAAAUGGAUAUUUGAGGAAACAGAAAACAGUUAGUUUGCUAUCUAGUACUCCCUCUGUCCGGAAAUACUUGUCCUAGAAAUGGUUGUAUCUAGACUUAUUUUAGUUAUAGAUACAUCCAUUUUAUCCAUUUUUAAGACAAAUAUUUCCGGACGGAGGGAGUACUUGAUUAAGUCAAUUAGAUUUAAUGCUAGUUUCCCUCUUUAAUAAACUCAACAAAGAACAGAAAAGAUGUGCUGCAUGGAAAAGUCCCACCCAACAGCUUGUAAAGUUGCAUUUCGAUUUAAAGCAUGCAUUGCAACAGCCGAUUCCCUCCAAAAUGCGUCCGAACUAGUUGACCUUUACAUACGCAUUCCUUGUGCUCUUUUAUUCCCCUUUUCAUACAAAGAAAGACAAGGUUGUUCUUUCCUUCCUCCUCAUCUUUUCUCCUUUGAUCCCUUUCCUUUUUCGCUUUUGCUCCUGCCCACACGCCUGAGUAAAACUAUUUUCGCCCCCAAACCGAGCGCUUUGCCUUUGCAUCUUGCUAAUCAUGCCCUUCAGCGUUCUUGAAAGAAGGCAAAGCUUGCGCUAAUGGAUCGGAAAGAGCUCAUCUCCCUCUUUUCAUUUCCCGUGCAACUUCCUCAGAUUCCUCUCCCGUGCACUGACUGACUGUUUCAGUAGCAUCUCUCCUCUUUCUUUCUAUGCUUUGGCAAACAUCUUUUUCUGUUCCUUUUCACUGGCUUAUAAACACAGGCGUUGCAUUGCACAGUCGGGCUGUCGUAUCGAUCCGUUAUCGCUUGAAGUUUCGGCUACCUAGCUAACUGGUAGAGUAGUGCGCAGGGUGCAGCAUGGGUUUUCAGAGAAAGAUUCUUCUGCCCGAGAGAGCCACCAUCCAGAAGACCGACGCUGGAACUCUGCAGCCGCUGAAGAUGAAGCGGCCUCGUGACGGUGAGGACGAAGGCGCUUCGGGGCCGCUGACGCCGACGGCGAACAGCGCAGGGACCGCGCAUCCGCGCUGCCCGCCGGCGCCGCCGAAGAAGCCGAGGCUCGUGCUGGGGUGCAGCCUGGACGGGUUCAAGGUUGUGAGCAUCAUGGACUUGCGUUGCUUCCUUCGUUGACGAGCCACCUUGCUUGCUUGUUUGUUUGUCUUUUUAGUUAGAGAAGAGAGGGGGUUUUGUUUUGGUGUUUUUGUGCUCUUCAACUCUUCUUUUUAACCGGAAUAAGCCUGUACAUUUGCAAUGAAUAGCUGUGCGUCAAGAGCAAUGGAUCGGUUUCAACAGUCA